AGUGAACGCUGGCGGUAGGCCUAACACAUGCAAGUCGAACGGCAGCACAGGAGAGCUUGCUCUCUGGGUGGCGAGUGGCGGACGGGUGAGGAAUACAUCGGAAUCUACUUUUUCGUGGGGGAUAACGUAGGGAAACUUACGCUAAUACCGCAUACGACCUACGGGUGAAAGCAGGGGACCUUCGGGCCUUGCGCGAUUGAAUGAGCCGACGUCGGAUUAGCUAGUUGGCGGGGUAAAGGCCCACCAAGGCGACGAUCCGUAGCUGGUCUGGGAGGAGGAUCAGCCACAAUGGAACUGAGACACGGUCGAGACUCCUACGGGAGGCAGCAGUGGGGAAUAUUGGACAAUGGGCGCAAGCCUGAUCCAUCCAUACCGCGUGGGUGAAGAAGGCCUUCGGGUUGUAAAGCCCUUUUGUUGGGAAAGAAAUCCAGCUGGUUAAUACCCGGUUGGGAUGACGGUACCCAAAGAAUAAGCACCGGCUAACUUCGUGCCAGCAGCAGCCGCCG
rnacentral:rRNA from 1 species